CAACACUCAAGCUCUGCUUGGUCUUGAGCCCCGCCGGCAACGGCAGGCUUUAAAAUCAGUGGCGGCGCCCCCUGGCUCUAAGCGUAGUAAUACACCCCGCUACAGAGUCCCGGUGGAUGCUUGCCAGCAACCCCCAACUUUCUAA
rnacentral:misc_RNA from 2 species